rnacentral:misc_RNA from 1 species
CGCCUGUGCACUCGCUCUCGCUGUCCCUGUCGCACUACGCUUCGCGUCUCUCUCAAAGACGGCGUGCCUGUCUGUCAGCCAUGGAUCCCAGCGCCGCCUUCCGCAGCUUCCCGACGCAAGAGCGGGGCAUCCUGCUCGCCAGCACGUACAAGCCUCUCUCCCUCCACGCCGCCGACGUGCAGGUGCGCCUCUCCGGCAGCGCCGCGCAGGUGAUUCUAUCGCUUGAGUAUGUAAACGAGACGAACAAGUUGGUGCGGGCGAUUGCCGCAUACCCGGCACCGCCGUCGUAUCAGCUGCAAUGCGCAACGCUGCAGGGCCCCGCGCGCGAAAUCAGCGCACGCUCGUAUGUGCAGUCGCGCCCGCUGCGUUCCGUCGAAGCAGGAAGCGCGCUGCGCGCCGAGCCGCUCGUAGACACGGCUGUCUCCACCGUAGCCACGCAGUCCGUGCCGUGGGACGUCAGCCCUGGCGAGUCUGUAUUGAUGAAGGCCGUCUACCACGUCCCCAUCUCGGCGACACAUCGUACCGGCGAGAUCGUGUUUACGCUGCCCACCUCGCUGAUCCCGGCGGCGCAGCGCCCGCCGGAUGUGCAGCGAGGGUACAUGAAAUUCCUUGAUGCGCGCAGUCAACUGCGACACCUCGCGCAGCAAGGAGGCUCCCUGCGCGUCUGCGUGGACGCGCAGCUGCUCGUGCCACUCCGAGGCGUGGUGACGCUCGAGAAGGGGCCCGAGGUCGUGCCGGAGAUGGGCGUCACCGGCACCAGCGUGAACGUCCAUUAUGUGGGGGACGCGCGCUUUCAGCUGACGUACCAUGAUGACCUCCCGAAGACAGCGUACAUGCAGGUGCCGCUCUGCGUGCGUGCACCGGUUGCAGAGACGUCAGAGCCGCUGCGUCUGCACACCGUCGCCGCCUCGCCGCCGCCAACCUCUUCGCCGAGCGGCCACUCCACUGCCGAAGUCGCCGCGGCGAUGGUGGUUAGCGUUGCCCCGUUCCUCGCCAAUUGCCCCAUCAAUGCGGAGAUCAUGUUUGUGGUGGAUGUGCACAGCGCUGCUCUUGGCGCCAGAGCAGCAGAGUCGGUGAUGGCGGCGAUCGCAUCGCUGAACGGCACGGCGAGUCUCGUCAACGUGAUCCUGUGCCGUGACGCCCACCGCGGCGGGGCCCUGUCGCUGUUGCCAGAUGGGUCUGUGCAGUCCUCCGCGGUGCCGCACGAAUCCAUGCUAGCCUUCAUGAAAGAAGAGGGUGUGCAGACGUCGUCCUCAAAGGGCGCAGCCACCCUCUCCCCUCACCUCCCCUCCCUCCUGCACGAGAUCACCACAGGGCGCGGUAUCACCACAAGCAUCCCAGCUGGCUACGUCCGCAACGUCAUCGUCUUGUCCGACGGCGGAAGCCAACCAGUCGACGCGGACGCCGUCGCCAUGGUGUGCCAAGUAACCAAUGCAGGUAGAGCGUGCCGAGUGCACGCCGUCGCCCUCGCGGCCACAGCCGAUCACGCGGUGCUUGAGGCGCUUGCCGAGGCCUGCGGUGGCUACUUUGCGUCGGCAGCGGCGUCCGGCAGCAGCGAAGCGGGUGAGCGCGCCGUAGACGAGGCCGUGCAAGCUGCCGUCUCUGCCGCUGCUGUCCCGUGUUUGGUCGACAUUCGCACGAAGUGGGAUGUGACGGGUGGCGACAUCGUUGCGGCGUCGAGUGUGCAAACAGCAGCGGCAGCGCCGUCGCCUUUACGCAUGGCCGCCGACGCAGACGGGGGCAAUAUCGCGUGCAUCCCUCACGGAACGCAGCGGCUGCUCUAUGGCCUCCUCGCCUCCGCAAACUCGCAGCUGGCGGUGCGCCUCUUUGGGCGGGUAGGGGAGAUGAGGUUGGAGUACACCGCCUCCUCCGCGACCCAGCCGCCACCGCAGUCUGACGCAGCCGAUAGCGCUGCUGCCGCCGGCGCCGCGGACGAGGAAUCUGGUAGGGCACCGCCGAUGCUGAUGACCGCUGCAGCGGCGGCCCGCAUCGCCUACCUCACGCACAUCCUCCACACCACCAGCGAGGAUGAGGCACUUGAAGUCAUUGCACUCUCCAAGCGCUACAUGCUACCGUCACCCUACACGACCCUGACAGACGGGAACAGCGGGCCUGGUGGUGAGCACAAGAUAGGCGGAGUCGUGCACCUGCCUUCGAUGCAGGCGGCGGCGCACGUCGAACUCGCCAUCCGCGCUCGCCGGGUCGAGCUGCAGGCGGCCGCCGCUCUUAGAGCAUUGCACCCGGCGUGAGGGGCGUCGUCAUCCAGAAGUGUUACAGGAAGCGCUUCGAGGGAGGGUGUCUGUCCCUCACAGCGCACCCUCGCUCUCUCGGAGAGGCAGCACAUCGAAGGAUGGCUAGAGGAGGAGCCGUUGCGUGCGGUGCUGAGGGAGCGGGCGGGAAUGAAGGCGAAGGAGAGGCCGCCGACACCCCUGAAGCCCACCCACCCAACAACAGCCCCCCUACCUCAGAGCACAUGUACAGUGGCCAUUCGCUGCAGUGGUUUUUCUUUUAUCCCUUGAAUGUAAGACACGUAAUACAGCGCAUCGGCUUGUGUGUGCGCGCGUGUGCGGCCAUCGACUCUGCCGCCUUCUCCUCUUCCGGUCUUGCCCUGCCCUGCACUGCUCCUCCUUCGCUUCUGUGUUCGCAUGUCUCUCCGCUGAUGAUCAUGUACCGUAGCAGCAGCAGCCUCCACACCCACCCCUCCCUCUCUCUCUCUCGUGUGUGUGGCGAGGAGGGAAGGAGGAAGGAGAGCCGCUGCCGCUGCAGCGCUCAGGGACUCAUGUCGCUGUUGCGCCUGAGAGAGAAGGCGGCGGCAGCGAGGCGGGGCCGGGAGGGACUGCCCAGACCCAACACAACGAGCGCACGUGCGCGUUGCAUGUACCUGAGAAUUUCAGUUUGUGUGUUGACCUCAUCACCUUUCGCUGUCGAUGAUGCGCGGCGGAGUUGUCAAUUG